GAUGAACGCUAGCGGCAGGCCUAAUACAUGCAAGUCGAACGGGUGGUCGCAAGACCACUAGUGGCGCACGGGUGCGUAACGCGUAACCAACCUGCCCCGAUCUGGGGGAUAGCCCGCCGAAAGGCGGAUUAAUACCGCAUAUACCCGCAGCCUGGCAUCAGGCAACGGGGAAAGAUUUAUUGGAUCGGGAUGGGGUUGCGUGACAUUAGCUAGUUGGCGGGGUAAGGGCCCACCAAGGCGACGAUGUCUAGGGGACCUGAGAGGGUGAUCCCCCACACUGGCACUGAGAUACGGGCCAGACGCCUACGGGAGGCAGCAGUAGGGAAUAUUGGGCAAUGGGCGAGAGCCUGACCCAGCCAUGCCGCGUGCCGGAUGAAGGCCUUCUGGGUUGUAAACGGCUUUUCUCAGGGAAGAAAAAGACCUUGCGAGGUACACUGACGGUACCUGAGGAAUAAGCACCGGCUAACUCCGUG
rnacentral:rRNA from 1 species